rnacentral:rRNA from 1 species
AACAGGAUUAGAUACCCGGGUUAGUCCACGCUGUAAACGAUGUCGAUUUGGAGAGUUGUGCCCUUGAGGCGUGGCUUCCGGAGCUAACGCGUUAAAUCGACCGCCUGGGGAGUACGGCCGCAAGGUUAAAACUCAAAUGAAUUGACGGGGGCCCGCACAAGCGGUGGAGCAUGUGGUUUAAUUCGAUGCAACGCGAAGAACCUUACCUACUCUUGACAUCCAGAGAACUUUCCAGAGAUGGAUUGGUGCCUUCGGGAACUCUGAGACAGGUGCUGCAUGGCUGUCGUCAGCUCGUGUUGUGAAAUGUUGGGUUAAGUCCCGCAACGAGCGCAACCCUUAUCCUUUGUUGCCAGCGGUUCGGCCGGGAACUCAAAGGAGACUGCCAGUGAUAAACUGGAGGAAGGUGGGGAUGACGUCAAGUCAUCAUGGCCCUUACGAGUAGGGCUACACACGUGCUACAAUGGCGUAUACAAAGAGAAGCGACCUCGCGAGAGCAAGCGGACCUCAUAAAGUACGUCGUAGUCCGGAUUGGAGUCUGCAACUCGACUCCAUGAAGUCGGAAUCGCUAGUAAUCGUAGAUCAGAAUGCUACGGUGAAUACGCUCCCGGGCCUUGUACACACCGCCCGUCACACCAUGGGAGUGGGUUGCAAAAGAAGUAGUAGCUUAACCUUCGGGAGGGCGCUUACCACUUUGUGAUUCAUGACUGGGGUGAAGUCGUAACAAGGUAGCC